rnacentral:tRNA from 1 species
GGGGGAUGGUGUAAUGGUAGCACGGCAGAGUCUGAAUCUGUUUAUCCAUGUUCGAAUCCAAAUCCCCCG